rnacentral:tRNA from 1 species
GGCCCUUUAGCUCAGUUGGUAGAGCAGAGGACUGAAAAUCCUCGUGUCCGCAGUUCGAUUCUGCGAGGGGCCACCA